rnacentral:lncRNA from 1 species
GAAAGUUUUUUAUUUUUUAAUUUAAAAUUCAUAAAAUUUUGGUUUUCUUUUUAAAAUUAUUUAUAAAUGAAAAAACCAUUUAUAGAAGGAUUUUAAUCUUGAGGACUAUUUAUGAACCCUAAACCCUUAGUUUUUUUAUUUUUAAAUUAUUUUUUAAAAACUCCAUUAGUUUGUUGAUGUGGCAUAUAUAUGGAGUGUAACAACCCGAU